rnacentral:rRNA from 1 species
AGAACGAACGCUGGCGGCAUGCCUAAUACAUGCAAGUCGAACGAACACUUCGGUGUUAGUGGCGCACGGGUGCGUAACGCGUGGGAAUCUGCCCUUGGGUUCGGAAUAACAGUUGGAAACGACUGCUAAUACCGGAUGAUGACGAAAGUCCAAAGAUUUAUCGCCCAGGGAUGAGCCCGCGUAGGAUUAGCUAGUUGGUGAGGUAAAGGCUCACCAAGGCGACGAUCCUUAGCUGGUCUGAGAGGAUGAUCAGCCACACUGGGACUGAGACACGGCCCAGACUCCUACGGGAGGCAGCAGUAGGGAAUAUUGGACAAAUGGGCGCAAGCCUUGAUCCAGCAAUAGCGCGUGAGUGAUGAA